rnacentral:rRNA from 1 species
AUUGGUCAAUGGACGCAAGUCUGAACCAGCCACGCCGCGUGCAGGAUGACGGCCCUAUGGGUUGUAAACUGCUUUUGUUUGGGAAGAAACCCCUUUUGCGAAAGGGACUGACGGUACCAGACGAAUAAGCACCGGCUAACUCCGUGCCAGCAGCCGCGGUAAUACGGAGGAUCCAAGCGUUAUCCGGAUUUAUUGGGUUUAAAGGGUGCGCAGGCGGAAGAUUAAGUCGGCGGUGAAAUUUUGCAGCUCAACUGUAAAAGUGCCAUCGAUACUGGUUUUCUUGAGUGUGGAUGAAGUAGGCGGAAUUUGUGGUGUAGCGGUGAAAUGCAUAGAUAUCACGAGGAACUCCGAUUGCGCAGGCAGCUUACUAGGCCAUAACUGACGCUCAGGCACGAAGGCGUGGGGAUCAAACAGG